rnacentral:snoRNA from 1 species
CUCCUUUUAUGAUGAUACCACAUACAUAAGCAUAGUUCAGCCGAAGGUCUACUAGGCCAUUGUGGAAACAAAUCAGCAACGUCUUUCGCUCCUAUCUGAUAUAUCUC